rnacentral:lncRNA from 1 species
CGGUGGUCUCCUCCGCAAUCUCCUCUUCCGAACAAAGAGGGACGAUGCUGCUCAAGUCCAGAUUCGGAUACAACUUUCUGACUGCAUCUCUAUCGUCCUUGUAUCUGAUGUAGUAAGAGGCAAAUCCGUCUUUGAGAAUUUCAUCCUUAAAUUCUUGUGAAUCUUUGAAAUUUUUGAUAGCCAGACUCAAAGCGCCUUUCGCUGACUCAGCUUCUGCC